UCCUUCUUAGCUCAGUUGGUAGAGCGCGUCACUAGUACUGGGAUUUGUAUUGGGUGUCUAUGACGAGGUCAGUCGUUCGAGUCGGCUAGAAGGAA